CCCGUUCCCAUCCCGAACACGGAAGUUAAGCUCUCCAGCGCCGAUGGUAGUUGGCGGGACACCGCCUGCGAGAGUAGGACGUUGCCGGGC
rnacentral:rRNA from 1 species